CCUACGGGAGGCAGCAGUGGGGAAUAUUGCACAAUGGGCGCAAGCCUGAUGCAGCGACGCCGCGUGAGGGAUGACGGCCUUCGGGUUGUAAACCUCUUUCAGCAGGGACGAAGCGCAAGUGACGGUACCUGCAGAAGAAGCACCGGCCAACUACGUGCCAGCAGCCGCGGUAAUACGUAGGGUGCAAGCGUUGUCCGGAAUUACUGGGCGUAAAGAGCUCGUAGGCGGUUUGUCGCGUCGUCUGUGAAAACCAGCAGCUCAACUGUUGGCUUGCAGGCGAUACGGGCAGACUUGAGUAUUUCAGGGGAGACUGGAAUUCCUGGUGUAGCGGUGAAAUGCGCAGAUAUCAGGAGGAACACCGGUGGCGAAGGCGGGUCUCUGGGAAAUAACUGACGCUGAGGAGCGAAAGCGUGGGUAGCGAACAGGAUUAGAUACCCUGGUAGUCCACGCCGUAAACGGUGGGCGCUAGGUGUGGGUUUCCUUCCACGGGAUCCGUGCCGUAGCUAACGCAUUAAGCGCCCCGCCNGGGGAGUACGGCCGCAAGGCUAAACUCAAAGGAAUUGACGG
rnacentral:rRNA from 1 species